rnacentral:rRNA from 1 species
GUAGGGAAUCUUGCGCAAUGGGCGAAAGCCUGACGCAGCCAUGCCGCGUGAAUGAUGAAGGUCUUAGGAUUGUAAAAUUCUUUCACCGGGGAAGAUAAUGACGGUACCCGGAGAAGAAGCCCCGGCUAACUUCGUGCCAGCAGCCGCGGUAAUACGAAGGGGGCUAGCGUUGCUCGGAAUUACUGGGCGUAAAGGGCGCGUAGGCGGACAUUUAAGUCAGAGGUGAAAGCCCAGGGCUCAACCUUGGAAUUGCCUUUGAUACUGGAUGUCUUGAGUUCGGGAGAGGUGAGUGGAAUGCCGAGUGUAGAGGUGAAAUUCGUAGAUAUUCGGCGGAACACCAGUGGCGAAGGCGACUCACUGGCCCGAUACUGACGCUGAGGCGCGAAAGCGUGGGGAGCAAACAGGAUUAGAUACCCUUGUAGUCC